rnacentral:misc_RNA from 1 species
UGGGCAUCCACUAGGGAUUCU